GGUUAAGCGACUAAGCGUACACGGUGGAUGCCCUGGCAGUCAGAGGCGAUGAAGGACGUGCUAAUCUGCGAAAAGCGCCGGCGAGGUGAUAUGAACCCUUGACCCGGCGAUGUCCGAAUGGGGAAACCCAGUGUGUUCCGACACACUAUCGUUAACUGAAUACAUAGGUUAACGAGGCGAACCGGGGGAACUGAAACAUCUAAGUACCCCGAGGAAAAGAAAUCAACCGAGAUUCCCCCAGUAGCGGCGAGCGAACGGGGAGCAGCCCGGAGUCUGAAUCAGCUUGUGUGUUAGUGGAACGGUCUGGAAAGUCCGACGGUACAGGGUGAUAGUCCCGUACACGAAAAUGCACUUGCUGUGAACUCGAAGAGUAGGGCGGGACACGUGGUAUCCUGUCUGAAUAUGGGGGGACCAUCCUCCAAGGCUAAAUACUCCUGACUGACCGAUAGUGAACCAGUACCGUGAGGGAAAGGCGAAAAGAACCCCGGCGAGGGGAGUGAAAAAGAACCUGAAACCGUGUACGUACAAGCAGUGGGAGCCUCUUUAUGGGGUGACUGCGUACCUUUUGUAUAAUGGGUCAGCGACUUAUAUUCUGUAGCAAGGUUAACCGUAUAGGGGAGCCGAAGGGAAACCGAGUCUUAACUGGGCGUUAAGUUGCAGGGUAUAGACCCGAAACCCGGUGAUCUAGCCAUGGGCAGGUUGAAGGUUGGGUAACACUAACUGGAGGACCGAACCGACUAAUGUUGAAAAAUUAGCGGAUGACCUGUGGCUGGGGGUGAAAGGCCAAUCAAACCGGGAGAUAGCUGGUUCUCCCCGAAAGCUAUUUAGGUAGCGCCUCGUGAACUCAUCUUCGGGGGUAGAGCACUGUUUCGGCUAGGGGGCCAUCCCGGCUUACCAACCCGAUGCAAACUACGAAUACCGAAGAAUGUUAUCACGGGAGACACACGGCGGGUGCUAACGUCCGUCGUGAAGAGGGAAACAACCCAGACCGCCAGCUAAGGUCCCAAAGUCAUGGUUAAGUGGGAAACGAUGUGGGAAGGCACAGACAGCCAGGAUGUUGGCUUAGAAGCAGCCAUCAUUUAAAGAAAGCGUAAUAGCUCACUGGUCGAGUCGGCCUGCGCGGAAGAUGUAACGGGGCUAAACCAUGCACCGAAGCUGCGGCAGCGACACUAUGUGUUGUUGGGUAGGGGAGCGUUCUGUAAGCCGUUGAAGGUGUGCUGUGAGGCAUGCUGGAGGUAUCAGAAGUGCGAAUGCUGACAUAAGUAACGAUAAAGCGGGUGAAAAGCCCGCUCGCCGGAAGACCAAGGGUUCCUGUCCAACGUUAAUCGGGGCAGGGUGAGUCGACCCCUAAGGCGAGGCCGAAAGGCGUAGUCGAUGGGAAACAGGUUAAUAUUCCUGUACUUGGUGUUACUGCGAAGGGGGGACGGAGAAGGCUAUGUCAGCCGGGCGACGGUUGUCCCGGUUUAAGCAUGUAGGCGGAGGUUCCAGGUAAAUCCGGUACCUUUUAACGCUGAGGUGUGAUGACGAGGCACUACGGUGCUGAAGUGAUAAAUGCCCUGCUUCCAGGAAAAGCCUCUAAGCAUCAGGUAACACGAAAUCGUACCCCAAACCGACACAGGUGGUCAGGUAGAGAAUACCAAGGCGCUUGAGAGAACUCGGGUGAAGGAACUAGGCAAAAUGGUGCCGUAACUUCGGGAGAAGGCACGCUGAUAUGUAGGUGAAGCCCCUGCGGGCGGAGCUGAAAUCAGUCGAAGAUACCAGCUGGCUGCAACUGUUUAUUAAAAACACAGCACUGUGCAAACACGAAAGUGGACGUAUACGGUGUGACGCCUGCCCGGUGCCGGAAGGUUAAUUGAUGGGGUUAGCGGCAACGCGAAGCUCUUGAUCGAAGCCCCGGUAAACGGCGGCCGUAACUAUAACGGUCCUAAGGUAGCGAAAUUCCUUGUCGGGUAAGUUCCGACCUGCACGAAUGGCGUAAUGAUGGCCAGGCUGUCUCCACCCGAGACUCAGUGAAAUUGAACUCGCUGUGAAGAUGCAGUGUACCCGCGGCAAGACGGAAAGACCCCGUGAACCUUUACUAUAGCUUGACACUGAACACUGGUCCUUGAUGUGUAGGAUAGGUGGGAGGCUUUGAAGCGUGGACGCCAGUCUGCGUGGAGCCAUCCUUGAAAUACCACCCUUUAAUGGCUGGUGUUCUAACGUAGACCCGUAAUCCGGGUUGCGGACAGUGUCUGGUGGGUAGUUUGACUGGGGCGGUCUCCUCCCAAAGAGUAACGGAGGAGCACGAAGGUUGGCUAAUCCUGGUCGGACAUCAGGAGGUUAGUGCAAUGGCAUAAGCCAGCUUGACUGCGAGCGUGACGGCGCGAGCAGGUGCGAAAGCAGGUCAUAGUGAUCCGGUGGUUCUGAAUGGAAGGGCCAUCGCUCAACGGAUAAAAGGUACUCCGGGGAUAACAGGCUGAUACCGCCCAAGAGUUCAUAUCGACGGCGGUGUUUGGCACCUCGAUGUCGGCUCAUCACAUCCUGGGGCUGAAGUAGGUCCCAAGGGUAUGGCUGUUCGCCAUUUAAAGUGGUACGCGAGCUGGGUUUAGAACGUCGUGAGACAGUUCGGUCCCUAUCUGCCGUGGGCGCUGGAGAAUUGAGGGGGGCUGCUCCUAGUACGAGAGGACCGGAGUGGACGCAUCACUGGUGUUCGGGUUGUCAUGCCAAUGGCACUGCCCGGUAGCUAAAUGCGGAAGAGAUAAGUGCUGAAAGCAUCUAAGCACGAAACUUGCCCCGAGAUGAGUUCUCCCUGAGACUUUAAGUCUCCUGAAGGAACGUUGAAGACGACGACGUUGAUAGGUCGGGUGUGUAAGCGCAGCGAUGCGUUGAGCUAACCGAUACUAAUGAACCGUGAGGCUUAACCUU
rnacentral:rRNA from 1 species